rnacentral:tRNA from 1 species
CUCGUCGCGGUCGGCACGUUCAGCGAGGCGUCCAUGUUCUGGACGAUGCGCGCGGCCACGCCGCGCAGCGGGGUGGUGCGGGGGCCGCCCGACGACG